rnacentral:rRNA from 1 species
UACAGAGGGUGCAAGCGUUAAUCGGAAUUACUGGGCGUAAAGCGUGCGUAGACGGUUAUGUCAGUCGGGUGUGAAAGCCCCGGGCUCAACCUGGGAAUUGCAUUCGAGACUGCAUAGCUAGGGUGCGGAAGAGGGAAGCGGAAUUUCCGGUGUAGCGGUGAAAUGCGUAGAUAUCGGAAGGAACACCAGUGGCGAAAGCGGCUUCCUGGUCCAGCACCGACGUUCAGGCACGAAAGCGUGGGGAGCAAACAGG